CCCUUAGAUGUUCUGGGCGGCCCGCGCACUACAAUGGCGUGUGCAGCGAGUGCCGAAGUAGAGUUUUCCGAGGUAUUCUUGCAAUGCUCGUUUUGAUGGGGAUAGACCCUUGCAACUGUUGGUUUUGAACGAGGAAUUCCUUGUAAGCAUGGUUUAUCAUCCGACGCUGAAUGCGUCCCUGCCCUUUGUACACACCUCCCGUCGCUCCUACCGAUGAGUCGUCCGGUGAAGUUCGUAGACCUCGUGAUCGCGGAUCACUGGGGGAAGCAAAAUGAACCUCGCGGUUUAGAGGAAGGAGAAGUCGUAACA
rnacentral:rRNA from 1 species